AUACGUACCGUACGAACGUUAUUCGGAAUUACUGGGCUUAAAGAGUGCGUAGGCGGCUUGGUAAGUCGGGUGUGAAAUCCCUCAGCCCAACUGAGGAAUUGCGCCCGAUACUGUCAGGCUUGAGGGAGUCAGAGGUGAGCGGAACUGAUGGUGGAGCGGUGAAAUGCGUUGAUAUUAUCAGGAACACCGGUGGCGAAGGCGGCUCACUGGGCCUCUUCUGACGCUGAGGCACGAAAGCUAGGGGAGCGAACGGAAUUAGAAACCCCAGUAGUCC
rnacentral:rRNA from 1 species